AUUGAACGCUGGCGGCAGGCCUAACACAUGCAAGUCGAGGGGUAUAGUUCUUCGGAGCUAGAGACCGGCGCACGGGUGCGUAACGCGUAUGCAAUCUACCUUUUGCAGAGGGAUAGCCCAGAGAAAUUUGGAUUAAUACCUCAUAGUAUGUGAGAAUGGCAUCAUUUUCACAUUAAAGUCACAACGGCAAAAGAUGAGCAUGCGUCCCAUUAGCUUGUUGGUAAGGUAACGGCUUACCAAGGCAACGAUGGGUAGGGGUCCUGAGAGGGAGAACCCCCACACGGUAAUGAGACACGGACCAGACUCCUACGGGAGGCAGCAGUGAGGAAUAUUGGACAAUGGGCGCAAGCCUGAUCCAGCCAUGCCGCGUGCAGGAUGACGGUCCUAUGGAUUGUAAACUGCUUUUGUACAGGAAGAAACACUGGUUCGUGAACCAGCUUGACGGUACUGUAAGAAUAAGGAUCGGCUAACUCCGUGCCAGCAGCCGCCGUAACAC
rnacentral:rRNA from 1 species